rnacentral:rRNA from 1 species
CCCUUAGAUGUUCUGGGCUGCACGCGUGCUUCAAUGAAGCGUCCAACAAGAUGCGAAGCCGAAAGGCUCAGCGGAUCUUUGAAGUCGUUUCGUGACCGGGACAGUUGAUUGCAAUUAUUCGACUCGAACGAGGAAUUCCUUGUAAUCGCGAUUCAUCAUAUCGCGCUGAAUACGUCCCUGCCCUUUGUACACACCGCCCGUCGCUCCUACCGAUUGAGCGAUCCGGUGAAUUAUUUGGAGUGUCCACGCAAGCCAAUCCGUUUACGUGGGUGCGAAAUUUUGUAAACCUUAUCGCUUAGAGGAAGGAAAAGUCGUAACA